AGGCCCGUACGGGUAGGCCCCUUGUUGCAAUAAGCGUUCCUCAGAUGUGCAUACCGUCGAGUCGGAUUGCUUGAGAAUGCAGUCCAAAGUGGGUGGUAAACUCCAUCCAAGGCUAAAUACUGCAGUCCAAAGUGGGUGGUAAACUCCAUCCAAGGCUAAAUACUGGCACGAGUCCGAUAGUAGACAAGUACCGUGAGGGAAAGUUGAAAAGUACUCUGAAGAGAGAGUAAAUAGUACGUGAGACAAGUACCGUGAGGGAAAGUUGAAAAGUACUCUGAAGAGAGAGUAAAUAGCACGUGAAGCCGCUUGCAGGGAAGCUGGUGGAGUCAAGCUUCUUGUCGAGAGAAUUGUCAUCAGAGGAUUAUUGCCUCGGGACGUGGCGCUGGUCAGCCUGGAAACGUAGCACGUGAAGCCGCUUGCAGGGAAGCUGGUGGAGUCAAGCUUCUUGUCGAGAGAAUUGUCAUCAGAGGAUUAUUGCCUCGGGACGUGGAUUUCGAUC
rnacentral:rRNA from 1 species